rnacentral:rRNA from 1 species
CCUACGGGAGGCAGCAGUGAGGAAUAUUGGUCAAUGGACGAAAGUCUGAACCAGCCAAGUAGCGUGAAGGAUGACUGCCCUAUGGGUUGUAAACUUCUUUUAUAUGGGAAUAAAGUGCUCUACGUGUAGGGUUUUGUAUGUACCAUAUGAAUAAGGAUCGGCUAACUCCGUGCCAGCAGCCGCGGUAAUACGGAGGAUCCGAGCGUUAUCCGGAUUUAUUGGGUGUAAAGGGAGCGUAGGUGGAUUGUUAAGUCAGUUGUGAAAGUUUGCGGCUCAACCGUAAAAUUGCAGUUGAAACUGGCAGUCUUGAGUACAGUAGAGGUGGGCGGAAUUCGUGGUGUAGCGGUGAAAUGCUUAGAUAUCACGAAGAACUCCGAUUGCGAAGGCAGCUCGCUGGACUGCAACUGACGCUGAUGCUCGAAAGUGUGGGUAUCAAACAGGAUUAGAUACCCGUGUAGUC